GAUGAACGCUGGCGGCAUGCCUUACACAUGCAAGUCGAACGGUAACGGGCCUUCGGGUGCCGACGAGUGGCGAACGGGUGAGUAAUGCAUCGGAACGUACCUUUCAGUGGGGGAUAACGUAGCGAAAGUUACGCUAAUACCGCAUAUUCUGGGUGCAGGAAAGCAGGGGAUCGCAAGACCUUGCGCCGAUUGAGCGGCCGAUGUCAGAUUAGCUAGAUGGUGAGGUAAAGGCUCACCAAGGCGACGAUCUGUAGCGGGUCUGAGAGGAUGAUCCGCCACACUGGGACUGAGACACGGCCAGACUCCUACGGGAGGCAGCAGUGGGGAAUUUUGGACAAUGGGGGCAACCCUGAUCCAGCCAUGCCGCGUGAGUGAAGAAGGCCUUCGGGUUGUAAAGCUCUUUCGGCCGGGAAGAAAUCGCACAGGCUAAUACCUUGUGUGGAUGACGGUACCGGAAUAAGAAGCACCGGCUAACUACGUGCCAGCAGCCGCUGUAAUAC
rnacentral:rRNA from 1 species